AAUCCCUCUCCCCCCUUCCCCCGAUUCGACCACGAAACUCCGACCAAGAGAGGCGGACAGCUACUUCAACCAUGAGAUCUGGACAGCUCCUCUCGACUCCUCUGACGCGAGCACCGACCACUCUCUUUGAAUCGAUUCUCAGGCGGUCCAUGGCAAGAAAGAGUUUUUACAUUGUGAAGAGAGGUCGACGAUGUGGAAUUUUUAAUAAUUGGGAGGACUGUAAAAAGCAAGUUGAUAAAUACCCAAAUGCCGCAUAUAAAGGGUAUGCAACGUACGAAGAGGCUUUGGUUGAAUGGGAUAAACACAACAUCACUUGUGAUUCAGCAUCCAACUCAAGGCAUGUCCAAACACCUUUUUAUGUCCCGACACCUGAUUCUGCAUCGAGCUCAAGAACUACUAUUUUCCCUAUCUAUGCUUUUGCAUUAGGUUCAGUGUUUACAAUAUUAGUGUUUGUAGUAUGUAUCGUUGUCGUAUUUUUUUUUAUAUUGCAAAAAUUAUGUGAUUGUGAGAA